rnacentral:rRNA from 1 species
GUUUCCUUCGGGAAACCAUUAGCUUAGCGGCGGAAGGGGGAGUAAUACGUAGGUAACCUGCCCUUAARACCGGGAUAACUCACGGUAACGUGGGCUAAUACCGGAUAGUCGAUUUCCUCSCAUGAGGGAAUCGGGAAAGGGGGAGCAAUCUGCCMCUUAUGGAUGGACCUACGGSGCAUUAGCUAGUUGGGGGGGUAACGGCUCACCAAGGCGACGAUGCGUAGCCGACCUGARAGGGKGAUCGGCCMCMCUGGGACUGAAACACGGCCCAAACUCCUACGGGCGGCAGCAGUAGGGAAUCUUCCGCAAUGGACGCAAGUCUGACGGARCAACCCCCCGUGAGUGAUGAAGGUUUUCGGAUCGUAAAGCUCUGUUGCCAGGGAAAAACGCUWUGGAAAGUAACUGUUCCAUAGGUGACGGUACCUGAAAAAAAAGCCCCGGCUAACUACGUGCCAGCAGCCGCGGUAAUACGUAGGGGGCAAGCGUUGUCCGGAAUUAUUGGGCGUAAAGCGCGCGCAGGCGGUCAUGUAAGUCUGGKGUUUAAACCCGGGGCUCAACUCCGGGUCGCAUCGGAAACUGUGUGACUUGAGUGCAAAAAAGGAAAGUGGAAUUCCACGUGUAGCGGUGAAAUGCGUAAAGAUGUGGAGGAACMCCAGUGGCGAAGGCGACUUUCUGGGCUGUAACUGACGCUGAGGCCCGAAAGCGUGGGGAGCAAACAGGAUUA